GCAGUCGUGGCCGAGUGGUUAAGGUGAUAGACUAGAAAUCCAUUGGGGUCUCCCCGCACAGGUUCGAAUCCUGUAGACUGCG
rnacentral:tRNA from 1 species